UACGUAGGGUGCAAGCGUUGUCCGGAAUUAUUGGGCGUAAAGAGCUCGUAGGCGGUCUGUCGCGUCUGCUGUGAAAACUCAGGGCUUAACCCUGAGCUUGCAGUGGGUACGGGCAGACUAGAGUGCGGUAGGGGAGACUGGAAUUCCUGGUGUAGCGGUGAAAUGCGCAGAUAGUCAGGAGGAACACCGGUGGCGAAGGCGGGUCUCUGGGCCGUAACUGACGCUGGAGGA
rnacentral:rRNA from 1 species